rnacentral:rRNA from 1 species
AGAAUCAACGCUGGCGGCGUGCCUAACACAUGCAAGUCGAACGAGAAAGUGGAGCAAUCCAUGAGUAAAGUGGCGCACGGGUGAGUAACACGUGACUAACCUACCCUUGAGUGGGGGAUAACCUAAGGGAAACCUGGGCUAAUACCGCAUAAUACCUUCGGGUCAAAGGAGCAGUUCGCUUUAGGAGGGGUCGCGGCCGAUUAGUUAGUUGGCGGGGUAAUGGCCCACCAAGACGAUGAUCGGUAU